rnacentral:tRNA from 1 species
GGGGUUGUGGCUCAGAGGUAGAAGUGCUUGCCUAGCAUGCAUGAGGUACUGGGUUCGAUCCUCAGCUACCACA